GAUGAACGCUGGCGGCGUGCCUAAUACAUGCAAGUCGAGCGAACAGACGAGGAGCUUGCUCCUCUGACGUUAGCGGCGGACGGGUGAGUAACACGUGGAUAACCUACCUAUAAGACUGGGAUAACUUCGGGAAACCGGAGCUAAUACCGGAUAAUAUAUUGAACCGCAUGGUUCAAUAGUGAAAGACGGUUUUGCUGUCACUUAUAGAUGGAUCCGCGCCGCAUUAGCUAGUUGGUAAGGUAACGGCUUACCAAGGCAACGAUGCGUAGCCGACCUGAGAGGGUGAUCGGCCACACUGGAACUGAGACACGGUCCAGACUCCUACGGGAGGCAGCAGUAGGGAAUCUUCCGCAAUGGGCGAAAGCUUGACGGAGCAACGCCGCGUGAGUGAUGAAGGUCUUCGGAUCGUAAAACUCUGUUAUGAGGGAAGAACAAAUGUGUAAGUAACUAUGCACGUCUUGACGGUACCUAGUCAGAAAGCCACGGCUAACUACGUG
rnacentral:rRNA from 1 species